GUAGAGACUUAAGAUUGAAUAUAACAGAUUCAUGAUUAGACGAUUAGAACUUAAUACCAUCUUAUACUCUGUGAAAGGACAAAGAAGACGCUCAUAUAGACCAAGAAACAAAGAACAUGAUUAAAAAGAACAGAGUUAACAGGAAAAAAGAAUAAAACCAUUUAUAUCACAAGAACUGCAGCCAAAUUUUUUUAAAAAAAUCUUCCAUCUUAAGCAUAGAUCUGAAACUAGACAAAUACCUUAAGAACUGAACUU